rnacentral:rRNA from 1 species
CACGUAGGGCGCAAGCGUUGUCCGGAAUUAUUGGGCGUAAAGAGCGUGUAGGCGGCCAUACAGGUCAGCUGUGAAAACUCGAGGCUCAACCUCGAGACGUCGGUUGAAACCGUAUGGCUAGAGUCCGGAAGAGGAGAGUGGAAUUCCCGGUGUAGCGGUGAAAUGCGCAGAUAUCGGGAAGAACACCCGUGGCGAAGGCGGCUCUCUGGGACGGUACUGACGCUGAGACGCGAAAGCGUGGGGAGCGAACAGG